rnacentral:rRNA from 1 species
AGCAGCCGCGGUAAUUCCAGCUCCAAUAGCGUAUAUUAAAGUUGUUGCAGUUAAAAAGCUCGUAGUUGAAUUUCGGGAUCAAGGUGCCGGUCAUGCCUUUGGUAUGUACUGACAUCAUUGAUUUCUCCCUUCUGAUAAACUGUGAUGUCAUUAAUUUGGUGUCAUGGAGAAUCAGGACUUUUACUUUGAAAAAAUUAGAGUGUUUAAAGCAAGCUCACGCUUGAAUACAUUAGCAUGGAAUAAUGAAAUAGGACGUUUGAUCCUAUUUUGUUGGUUUCUAGGAUUGACGUAAUGAUUAAUAGGGAUAGUUGGG